rnacentral:rRNA from 1 species
CGGAGGGUGCAAGCGUUAUCCGGAUUCACUGGGUUUAAAGGGUGUGUAGGCGGGCAGUUAAGUCAGUGGUGAAAUCUCCGGGCUCAACCCGGAAACUGCCAUUGAUACUAAUUGUCUUGAAUAUCGUUGAGGCAGGCGGAAUAUGUCAUGUAGCGGUGAAAUGCAUAGAUAUGACAUAGAACUCCAAUUGCGAAGGCAGCUUGCUAAACGAUCAUUGACGCUGAGGCACGAAAGCGUGGGGAUCAAACAGGAUUAGAUACCCUGGUAGUCCACGCCCUAAACGAUGAUUACUCGACAUACGCGAUACACAGUGUGUGUCUGAGCGAAAGCAUUAAGUAAUCCACCUGGGAAGUACGUCCGCAAGGAUG